rnacentral:rRNA from 1 species
AGAGUUUGAUUCUGGCUCAGGAUGAACGCUAGCGGCAGGCUUAACACAUGCAAGUCGAGGGGUAUAGUAGCAGUACUAGAGACCGGCGCACGGGUGCGUAACGCGUAUGCAAUCUACCUUUUGCAGAGGGAUAGCCCAGAGAAAUUUGGAUUAAUACCUCAUAGUAUUAUAGUAUGGCAUCAUAUUAUAAUUAAAGUCACAACGGCAAAAGAUGAGCAUGCGUCCCAUUAGUUAGUUGGUAAGGUAACGGCUUACCAAGACUACGAUGGGUAGGGGUCCUGAGAGGGAGAUCCCCCACACUGGUACUGAGACACGGACCAGACUCCUACGGGAGGCAGCAGUGAGGAAUAUUGGACAAUGGGCGCAAGCCUGAUCCAGCCAUGCCGCGUGCAGGAUGACGGUCCUAUGGAUUGUAAACUGCUUUUGCACAGGAAGGAACACUCCGACGUGUCGGAGCUUGACGGUACUGUGAGAAUAAGGAUCGGCUAACUCCGUGCCAGCAGCCGCGGUAAUACGGAGGAUCCAAGCGCUAUCCGGAAUCAUUGGGUUUAAAGGGUCCGUAGGCGGUUUAGUAAGUCAGUGGUGAAAGCCCAUCGCUCAACGGUGGAACGGCCAUUGAUACUGCUAGACUUGAAUUAUUAGGAAGUAACUAGAAUAUGUAGUGUAGCGGUGAAAUGCUUAGAGAUUACAUGGAAUACCAAUUGCGAAGGCAGGUUACUACUAAUGGAUUGACGCUGAUGGACGAAAGCGUGGGUAGCGAACAGGAUUA